rnacentral:rRNA from 1 species
UACGAAGGGGGCUAGCGUUGUUCGGAAUUACUGGGCGUAAAGCGCGCGCAGGCGGUUUCUCAAGUCAGUGGUGAAAGCCCGGAGCUCAACUCCGGAACUGCCAUUGAAACUGUGAAACUUGAGGACGAGAGAGGUGAGUGGAAUUCCCAGUGUAGAGGUGAAAUUCGUAGAUAUUCGCAAGAACACCAGUGGCGAAGGCGGCUGACUGGUCCGGUUCUGACGCUGAGGCGCGAAAGCGUGGGGAGCAAACAGG